UACGUAGGGGGCAAGCGUUGUCCGGAAUCAUUGGGCGUAAAGAGCGCGUAGGCGGUCCGGUAAGUCCGCUGUGAAAGUCAAGGGCUCAACCCUUGAAUGCCGGUGGAUACUGUCGGGCUAGAGUCCGGAAGAGGCGAGUGGAAUUCCUGGUGUAGCGGUGAAAUGCGCAGAUAUCAGGAAGAACACCAAUGGCGAAGGCAGCUCUCUGGGACGGUACUGACGCUGAGACGCGAAAGCGUGGGGAGCGAACAGG
rnacentral:rRNA from 1 species